CCACGGGAGGCAGCAGUGGGGAAUAUUGCACAAUGGGGGAAACCCUGAUGCAGCAACGCCGCGUGAGUGAAGAAGUAUUUCGGUAUGUAAAGCUCUAUCAGCAGGGAAGAGAAUGACGGUACCUGACUAAGCAGCCCCGGCUAACUACGUGCCAGCAGCCGCGGUAAUACGUAGGGGGCAAGCGUUAUCCGGAUUGACUGGGGGUAAAGGGAGCGUAGACGGCUGUACAAGUCUGAAGUGAAAGCCCGUGGCUCAACCGCGGAACUGCUUUGGAAACUGUAAAGCUGGAGGAGUGGAGAGGCAGGCGGAAUGCAUAGUGUAGAGGUGAAAUGCGUAGAGAGGAGGAGGAACACCAGUGGCGAAGGCGGCCUGCUGGACAGAAACUGACGUUGAGGCGCGAAAGCGUGGGGAGCAAACAGGAUUAGAUACCCUGGUAGUC
rnacentral:rRNA from 1 species